rnacentral:pre_miRNA from 1 species
CAAGAGGCUCCAAGAGAAUUGGGCUAGAGCUGAUAAAGAAGGCCCUAGGGUUCUCUGAACCUCAGGG